rnacentral:lncRNA from 1 species
AUGGAACUCCUUAUGGCAAUGGCGUCCGCUCCAUGGCCAUCACCUCCUUGUCGCCGGUGACACAACUUACCGACAGCAUACCUUUCUCCAUCACUCGUGACGCAGCUUGACGAUGAUGAAGACACACCAGCCGCUAGCAGCAUCAUGCCGCCAACGGCGUCCACCUUCGCGCCACCGACGUCCCCCUCACAUGGAGUCCGCCGCGUCGCCUCCACCGUGUCCACCAUGGCAACCGCAACGCCGCGCACCUUCAUAGGCCGACACACGGUCCGGAGCUUCGCGCGGCCGCCGACGAACGCCGUCCUCACCGGCACGCCUCCGGCAUGACGAACG